AUUGAACGCUGGCGGCAUGCCUUACACAUGCAAGUCGAACGGCAGCGCGGACUUCGGUCUGGCGGCGAGUGGCGAACGGGUGAGUAAUGCAUCGGAACGUACCUUUCAGUGGGGGAUAACGUAGCGAAAGUUACGCUAAUACCGCAUAUUCUGUGAGCAGGAAAGCAGGGGAUCGCAAGACCUUGCGCUGAUUGAGCGGCCGAUGUCAGAUUAGCUAGUUGGUGAGGUAAAGGCUCACCAAGGCGACGAUCUGUAGCGGGUCUGAGAGGAUGAUCCGCCACACUGGGACUGAGACACGGCCCAGACUCCUACGGGAGGCAGCAGUGGGGAAUUUUGGACAAUGGGGGCAACCCUGAUCCAGCCAUGCCGCGUGAGUGAAGAAGGCCUUCGGGUUGUAAAGCUCUUUCGGCCGGGAAGAAAUCGCAUGGGUUAAUACCCUGUGUGGAUGACGGUACCGGAAUAAGAAGCACCGGCUAACUACGUGCCAGCCGCCGCAGUAAGAC
rnacentral:rRNA from 1 species